rnacentral:lncRNA from 1 species
GGGAGAUGGACGAGCCUCCGCUAGAGGUUCCAGAUGAAUCCUUGAACCAUGAAAACGCAGACCAAACCCCAGAUAACCAGAAGACCAACACAGAGGAAGCAGGCCAGGUCCUUCACAGAGGUUCUGAACAUGCUGGGGUUGGAUCCUCUGAGCCAACUGGUGACAAGGUUUCAGGCCAAGGCGCUAAUGCAGGGUAUAGACAGGCCACCCGAAGAACUUCUGAAGAGGCAGAGCAAAGAUCUUCUCAGCCAACUGAGCAAAGAUUGCCUGGCCUUGUGGAGAGGAGAGCAUCUCAGCCGGCGGAGCGCAGGCUCUCUGAAAGGAGAACCUCACAGCCACCCAGCCAUCCACUUCCCAGCCUAUCUGAGGGGAAAACCUCUGAGAGGAUAGAUGGCCAAGUGUCUUUGCCAUCUGGUGGGAGGUCUUCUGAGCAGGCUGACCCAGGAAGUUCGGAGCAGGAUGACCUGAGUUCAACAGAUGAAACUUACUAUGCUUCAGGAAAGAGUCAACGCCAAACGGAUUACUGGUUUGAAGACCCUAGUAAUCCCCACAGGCUCAGUGAGGAGAUUGAAAGGGACAUUACCCAAGUUAGGCGAACAAUAGAAAAUCAUUCUGGCUACCGCUCAUACUACAAAACUCUUGCCCGCACUGAGAACCAAUCAUUAACUGAUAUCCAUGACAUCAGAGAAGCUGGCCAAAGAGUACAGCCUUGCACGUUUGAAGACAAUGAAA